AGUGAACGCUGGCGGUAGGCCUAACACAUGCAAGUCGAACGGCAGCACAGAGGAGCUUGCUCCUUGGGUGGCGAGUGGCGGACGGGUGAGGAAUACAUCGGAAUCUACUCUGUCGUGGGGGAUAACGUAGGGAAACUUACGCUAAUACCGCCUACGACCUACGGGUGAAAGCAGGGGACCUUCGGACCUUGCGCGAGUGAAUGAGCCGAUGUCGGAUUAGCUAGUUGGCGGGGUAAAGGCCCACCAAGGCGACGAUCCGUAGCUGGUCUGAGAGGAUGAUCAGCCACACUGGAACUGAGACACGGUCCAGACUCCUACGGGAGGCAGCAGUGGGGAAUAUUGGACAAUGGGCGCAAGCCUGAUCCAGCCAUACCGCGUGGGUGAAGAAGGCCUUCGGGUUGUAAAGCCCUUUUGUUGGGAAAGAAAUCCAUCUGGUUAAUACCCGGGUGGGAUGACGGUACCCAAAGAAUAAGCACCGGCUAACUUCGUGCCAGCCGCCGCGGUAA
rnacentral:rRNA from 1 species